AGAGUUUGAUCCUGGCUCAGAUUGAACGCUGGCUGCGUGCUUAACACAUGCAAGUCGAACGAGAAAGGGACUUCGGUCCUGAGUAGAGUGGCGCACGGGUGAGUAACGCGUAGGUAAUCUACCUCUGCAUCUGGGAUAACACUUCGAAAGGGGUGCUAAUACCGGAUACACUUAUCAAUCGCAAGGUUGAUAAGGAAAGGAGACGAUCCGCAAGGAGUUUCUGUGUAGAGAUGAGCCUGCGUCCCAUUAGCUAGUUGGCAGGGUAAAGGCCUACCAAGGCGACGAUGGGUAGCGGGUCUGAGAGGAUGAUCCGCCACACUGGAACUGAAACACGGACCAGACUCCUACGGGAGGCAGCAGUGAGGAAUAUUGGACAAUGGGCGCAAGCCUGAUCCAGCGACGCCGCGUGAGUGAUGAAGGCCUUUGGGUCGUAAAGCUCUGUCAGCAGGGAAGAACGGCCGUGUGGUUAAUACCCGUGCGGAUUGACGGUACCUGCAGAGGAAGCACCGGCUAACUCCGUGCCAGCAGCCGCGGUAAUAC
rnacentral:rRNA from 1 species